rnacentral:misc_RNA from 1 species
GAUGAAGAACGUAGCGAAAUGCGAUAAGUAAUGCGAAUUGCAGAAUUCAGUGAGUCAUCGAAUCUUUGAACGCACAUUGCGCCCGCCAGUAUUCUGGCGGGCAUGCCUGUUCGAGCGUCAUUUCAACCAUCAAGCCCCAGGCUUGUGUUGGGGACCUGCGGCUGCCGCAGGCCCUGAAAACCAGUGGCGGGCUCGCUGUCACACCGGGCGUAGUAGAUUUUAUCUCGCUCAGGGCGUGCUGCGGGUUCCGGCCGUUAAAAAGCCUUUUUUACCCAAGGUUGACCUCGGAUCAGGUAGGAAGACCCGCUGAACUUAAGCAUAUCAAUAAGCGGAGGA